GACGAACGCUGGCGGCGUGCCUAAUACAUGCAAGUCGAGCGGACCGGAUUGGGGCUUGCCUUGAUUCGGUCAGCGGCGGACGGGUGAGUAACACGUGGGCAACCUGCCCGCAAGACCGGGAUAACUCCGGGAAACCGGAGCUAAUACCGGAUAACACCGAAGACCGCAUGGUCUUCGGUUGAAAGGCGGCCUUUGGGCUGUCACUUGCGGAUGGGCCCGCGGCGCAUUAGCUAGUUGGUGAGGUAACGGCUCACCAAGGCGACGAUGCGUAGCCGGCCUGAGAGGGUGACCGGCCACACUGGGACUGAGACACGGCCCAGACUCCUACGGGAGGCAGCAGUAGGGAAUCUUCCGCAAGGGGCGAAAGCCUGACGGAGCGACGCCGCGUGAGCGAAGAAGGCCUUCGGGUCGUAAAGCUCUGUUGUGAGGGACGAAGGAGCGUCGUUCGAAGAGGGCGGCGCGGUGACGGUACCUCACGAGAAAGCCCCGGCUAACUACGUG
rnacentral:rRNA from 1 species